AGGAAACAGCAAAACUAGAAAAAAAAGCAGACUUCUCUCAAAGAGCCCUCCUAGCCAGGCUGCCUUUUCCACUGUUGCUCAGCAAUGGGAAGCAGGAGCAGAGGCUGUGGAUGCUCCGAGGCAGCAGGGAGCUGGCUGAUGUGAAGCAGGCAGAGCGAGGAGCUCACAGCUGAAACGGUGGGUGCAGGAGGAGAGCGGAACAGCGCUGAGGAACGCGGGCUGCUGGCACACAGACCGUGCCGGGCAGACAGGAUGGAACACAGGGUUUCACAGGUGCAAUGGAAACCCACGUACCUGCUUGAGGUGGAAGAUGGCUUCUACACCGAACUUCAAAUUAAUAUGAACGUCUCUUGAUUUUAAAGUUACAGACAAAAAGUAAGCCACUGAUACAAUUUAUUCCAUUUGGAGUAGUUAUCAAGCAUCAGAAAUAGCUUUACAUGUGAAAUGUCUUUCACGUGGGCUUUCCCAUCAUCCUAGCUUCCCACUACACACAACUCCUGCAGUAUCAUCUGCUACUCAAAUGACAUCUGAAAUGCUCUAGCAGGAAAUUUUUAUUCUUUUUCUACAAUUUUAUAUUCUAGUUCCUUUGAACUUUAUAUGUCAGUGCUGAAACAUAGCUUUUAACAAUUAAUAUGACCUUUGAAUAAAUGUGCCUCAAAAGUGUGUAUAAGAGGCUUUCAAGAUCAAAAAGAGACAUUUAAUGGCAAGUUUUCAGCUCAG